rnacentral:rRNA from 1 species
AUACAGAGGGUGCGAGCGUUAAUCGGAAUUACUGGGCGUAAAGCGCGCGUAGGCGGCUUAUUAAGUCAGAUGUGAAAUCCCAGGGCUCAACCUUGGAACUGCAUCUGAUACUGGUAAGCUAGAGUUUAGGAGAGGGAAGUAGAAUUUCAGGUGUAGCGGUGAAAUGCAUAGAGAUCUGAAGGAAUACCAGUGGCGAAGGCGACUUCCUGGCCUAAAACUGACGCUGAGGUGCGAAAGCGUGGGUAGCAAACGGGAUUAGAAACCCCUGUAGUCC